rnacentral:tRNA from 1 species
GCACGUGUAGCUUAGGUAAAGCAUAACACUGAAGAUGUUAAGAUGGGCCUUAAAAAGCCCCACUAGCA